GCGAUGGUCGUCUAGUGGUCUAGGAUGCAGGACUGUGGAUCCUGCGACCCGGGUUCGAAUCCCGGCCAUCGCC
rnacentral:tRNA from 1 species